rnacentral:rRNA from 1 species
CCUAUCAGCUUUCGACGGUAUGGUAUUGGCUUACCGUGGCAGUGACGGUUAACGGGGGAUUAGGGUUCGAUUCCGGAGAGGGAGCCUGAGAAACGGCUACCACAUCUAAGGAAGGCAGCAGGCGCGCAAAUUACCCAAUUCUAACAGUUUGAGAGAGGUAGUAACAAGAAAUAACAAUACAAGGCAGUUAAAAUGCUUUGUAAUUGGAAUGAUAGAAAUUUAAACCCUUUUUAAAGUAUCAAUUGGAGGGCAAGUCUGGUGCCAGCAGCCGCGGUAAUUCCAGCUCCAAUAGCGUAUAUUAAAAUUGUUGCAGUUAAAAAGCUCGUAGUUGAAGUUCUGCUGAAAGUAACCGGUCUGCUUUUAAUAAAAGUGGUAUCUUGGUAUGUAUUUAGCAAUGAUGUCCUUUGAAGUGUUUUUUACUUUAUUGUAAUAAAGCAUAUUCAGGACUUUUACUUUGAGAAAAUUAGAGUGUUUCUAGCAGGCUGACGCUUUGAAUACUGCAGCAUGGAAUAAUAAGAUAGGAUUUUAGUUCUACAUUAUUGGUUUUAAGAGCUAAAUUAAUGAUUGAUAGGGACAGUUGGGGGCAUUUGUAUUUAA